ACAUGUUGCGUGAUUGAUGUGUCAAUCGACCAAUCAGCGGUGAGAUUACAGCUCUCUGGCGGUAGUGCACGUACAGCUGAUUUGCAACCCGCCGAAGCUACAGCAGAGAAGGAGUAAAAAUGUCGCUGGCUUCAUCGCGGACCGUUCUAGGAUCAGUGCCCUUUUAGGAAAACUCAGACGGCAGUUCGAAUGAAACCUCUGCUGUGAUGUUGCUAUGAAAGAUAAUACGCUUCAAGAAACUGUACAAAGAAAGUGAAAUGCUCUAACAGUUUCAAAGUGGGAGUCGUCUUAUGUUUCCCUUUUUGUCUGGUCAACUUGAACCAUAACCAUUUAAGAACAGGAGUAUACUGUAACACUACAUUGUAAGGUGACCUGAUCUGAUAAUUAAAGCCUCUGGAGCCUCCUCCCAACUAGAACGGUCAAAUUUCAGUGCAGACAUGGACCCAUCUACUCGGGUGGUGGGUCUUGAUGCCCAGGGGAACAUGGUUUUCACAGUGGUAAAACCAGUAAUGGGCAUCUUUCAGGUGGCUUCAGAGCAAACUGGUAGUGUAGCACAAGGGGGCAUGGGGCUACAGGGUCUAUCUGAAAACACAUUGAUCCUCCCUCAAGCACAAAGCCAGAGUCCGCUAGACCAGAACCAGAUGGAAAUGCACAGCUUACAGCCUCAUAUUCAGAUGCACCAGAUGCAGGUUUCUGUCCCAGACCAGACUGAGGUUGUGACCCAGAAUCAGGACCCGCCACCAAACUCGAGCACAAAUUCAGAGUCUGCUACCCACAUGCCUUUUGCAGAGGUGUCGUCACUCCUGGAUCCCAACAUGAAAGGAUCUAAGGCUCGGAAGUAUCUCAUCUCGUAUGAUGAAAUUAAACGGCGCCUGCAGUCCCCGGAGAAGAUGUCCCUGCGCUCCCUGGCAGCGUACACUCGGGUCAGCAGAGGCCCGGCCAGCAAGAAAACUCUUCUGGAGUCACUCAAUGUACUCGGCCUCACGCCGAGCACAACUACCUCUGUAUCCUCCUCUUUCUCCAAACUUACUGAAGGCGACACCAGAGCUUUGUGUGACGAUAUGAAGGACUUUGCCCAUGACUACAUCGACUACAGCAACAUGGCUAAACAGCUCAUCCCCGAGACGAACACAGUUCAACACUGGUCCAAGAUUAUUGAAACUAAGAACCAUCUUGAGGAUAUGAGAAAAUGUUUCAUGGACCCGGUGAACAGUGGCGCGUUUGACAACGUCACUCACGGCCUGGGUCUGGGAAUGUUGGACGCGGCACUGGACAUGGUCAUUAUGGUUAUUGAACAGCAGAUUCGGAUCCUGUCUGGCGCAGCGGCAUCAGACCCAGCUGACUCUGGUCCGCCAAUGCGCCGUAUCCGCAGGCGCCACCGCAAAACAAGACCAACUGACAACGAGAACCCUCACAAGGUGUCUGGAGGGGUCAAAGAGCAAGGAAAGGUUAUUUCAAAAGGCAAGGGGCGAGGCAGAGCCAGGAAGAAGAUAAGUCAGGAAACUGCAGCUGCUGUUCCUAUGGAAACCCAAGCAGAGCAGUGCAAGCCGGAUGACGUGGAGAGUAACGUCCUCACCCUGGUUUCUGUUGGAUAUGAGACUGUUUCCUGUGGACUCAAUGCAACAGGGACUGUUUGACACCUGGUCACAUGACAAGUCCAAAGAACCAAUCAUAGUCCUACUCAAAGGGAUGGAACACAGGCAUCAAAGUAUAACGUUACAUCUUGAAAUCCAACUAAAAGGAAUAGUUGGACAUUUUGGGAAAUACACUUCUUGCAGGGAGUUAGAUGAGAAAAUCGAUACCACUCUCACAUCUGUGCUGUAAAUAAGUAGCUGGAGCCAGCAGGCAGUUAGCUGGAAACAGUUAGCCUGGCUCCGUCCGCACACACAAACCGAGUGUAGCGCAGUGGCCUUACGGGUUGUUUUUCUGUACAAAUUAAACAAAUGAGACAACAUGUUCAUAAGUGAGCUUUAGAAGUUCUGCUGGGCAGAUUUAGUUUCCUUUGGACAGAGCCAGGCUAGCUGCUUCCCCCUGUUUCCAGUCUCCAUGCUUAGCUAAAAUAACAAGCCGCUUCUUAAAACUUACCGUACACAAAUGAGAGUGGUUUUCAUCUUCUUGUCUAACUCUUGGCCAGGGCUGGACGAGGAUAAUAGUUCUGGCUGGAAAUCUGACAUCAGCACUUAAACAGUGACUGUUUUUGUUGAAAUAUUUUCCAUGUGUACUGUUUAUGACAGUAACAUCUUUUAUUUUUAUUACCACAAAAGGAACUGCUGUAAAAAAACACCCAAAAUAGUUAUUAAGUGUCUUCAGAUUCAAAUAGUACAUUUGCACGUUCUUAAUCGAUUCAUAUGUCUAAUUGUUAAGCACUCUUGCAGUGUUUGUUUUACACCAGGCAUUUUCCCAGCGCUCUGAUUGGACGUGUGAUGUAACAGCAUCAUGAAGCUCUGGUAGAUCUGUGUAACUGGAGGCACUACAUACUUACAUACACAAUACCUAUUUAUUUAAAAAAACAAAAUCAACUCCCGAAGGGUAUUUGGGAUAUAACGUAGUGCUGGGAGCAUGUAUUAUUUUUAAUAACACUAAUCACGUCCAUGGAUUGUGAACUUAUCUGUUUUGCAGCAUUUAGCUGCACUUUCCUGUAGUUUCUUUCUCCUCUAACGCUCUCCCUCUCAGCUCCAUCUUCUCUCCACACGUGCACUGACUGAGCGUUGUUAAUCACAGUGUAAAAAUCCAAAGUGAACUGGGUGAAUCAAAGCCAAAACAACUUGGCAAGAAAGUUAAUAAGCACAUUUCCCAAAAUGCCGAACAAUUUCUUUAAGUGAAUCCUCUCUUUCUUUAGUAUCGGCUUCGGUAUGUGUGUGUUCCAACUGAAUCCUGUUACAUAGUAUUUCUUUAUACUAUGUUUUCAGCAAACAAAAAUCCCCACCGAUGUAUGUAUAAAUGUAUACAAGUUGAACACUGAGAAGACCUGCCUGUGCACAGGUGUACAGCCCAUAAUGUAGAACAGAUAAUAUCACCUGGAUUAUAUUUUUUGAUUGUGGUUCAAUGUCUCAUGUGUCCCUGAUGUAUUUUUUGGUUAGAUUUCCAAUUGAACAUCUAUCGUUCUGUACUAGAUUGUUAACUUUUGUUUUACUGGAACCUCAAGAGUUGAGUAAACCAUAAAUAUUUAAUUUUUAUAACUACUUUGAUUCUGUUAUUGUCCAGCGAUAGAUGUCAUAAAUGGAGCAGGGUGUGCCUAGAGGAGUUGGUCAUUGAGUCAUAUUUAAUCUGGGAGCUCAAGUGACUCGAACAUUGUAGCAUUUUAAAUCCAGAAGUCAGGG
rnacentral:lncRNA from 1 species